rnacentral:rRNA from 1 species
GAUGAACGCUGGCGGCGUGCCUAAUACAUGCAAGUCGAGCGAACAGACGUGGAACUUGCCUUCUUGACGUUUGCGGCGCACGGGUGAGUAACACGCGGAUAACCCCCCUAUAAGACUGGGAUAACUUCGGGAAACCGGAGCUAAUAUCGCAUAAUAUAUUUAAUCGCAUGGUUCAAUAUUGAUAGACGGUUGUGCCUUCAUUUAUAGUAGCAUUCGCGCCGCAUUAUGUAGUUGGUAAGGUAACGGCUUACCAAGGGAACGAUGCGUAGCCGACCCGAGAGGGGGAUGGGCCACACGGGAACUGGAACACGGUCCAGACUCCUACGGGAGGCAGCAGUAGGAAAUCUUCGGCAAUGGGCGAAAGCUUGACGGAGCAACGCGGCGGGGGUGAUGAAGGUCUUCGGAUCGUAAGACUCUGUUAUUAGGGAAGAACAAAUGUGUAAGUAACUUUGCACGGAUUGACGGUACCUGAUCAGAAAGCCACGGCUAACUACGUG